AAUGAUUACUAAUAGUUGUAUAAACAGAACAACAAUAAUUACUACAACUCAAAAUGUCUAUUAUAAAAUACAUAUAAUCAAGAGUUUUCAAUCACACAAAAAUAAAAUAUAGGUAUUUAAAUUUUAAUAUAUAAAAAAAUAUGAAAUCAAGAGAAGGCACCAGCAGAAAGAGUGAGGGUGGUGCUGCUCGGAGCAUAUGAC
rnacentral:lncRNA from 1 species